GAUGAACGCUGGCGGCGUGCUUAACACAUGCAAGUCGAACGAUGAAGCUCAGCUUGCUGGGUGUAGUAGUGGCGAACGGGUGAGUAACACGUGAGUAACCUGCCCUCAACUCUGGGAUAAGCCUGGGAAACUGGGUCUAAUACCGGAUAGGAGCGUCCAUCGCACGGAGCGAGUGGGACAGCUUUAUCGGUUUUGGAUGGGCGGGCGGCCUAACACCUUGUUGGUGAGGUAAUGGCUCACCAAGGCGACGACGGGUAGCCGGCAUGGGAGGGUGGACGGCCACAAUGGGCCUGAGACACGGCCCAGACUCCUACGGGAGGCAGCGGUGGGGAAUAUUGCGCAAUGGGCGCAAGCCUGAUGCAGCGACGCCGCGUGAGGGAUGACGGCCUUCGGGUUGUAAACCUCUUUCAGUAGGGAAGAAGCGAAAGUGACGGUACCUGAAGAAGAAGCACCGGCUAACUACGUG
rnacentral:rRNA from 1 species